AAAAUGAGUGAUAUCUCUCUCUGACGACUCACACUCAUAUUGGAGGUGUUCAACUAUGCUUUUCCUGAAAGUCACUUAGUCUCAUUAUUAGAUAAUCAAUCACAUAAGACUGGUUUCGACAUUACUCAACGGGUUUCUUCAUUCAUGUCAUUAACGUUCACUCUCUCUCCGCUGGGAAAUACAUGUAGAGGGGUUUAACAAUUUUCAUAGUGCAAUUUGCAUCUAAAAAUCUUCAGUGAUGAAGGCUACAAUAUCCCGGGAAAUCCAAUGUUGUUGCAGCUUCUUCUUUGAUAGUAUCAUGUUUGUUGAUCAAUAUCGAUUUACUGUAAAAAGAUAUUUUGUUUUAGCAUUGAGAAUUUGCUACAUUUGAGAAUUUUUUUUUGUGAGAGUAUCUGUCUUGAGUGAUUAAGAUAUCUUCUUUCGUGAAAAAUGGUUAAAAACAUAUCAUGGGAUCUUAUGAUGUUUGUUUUGAACUAACCAUUUGGUUGAAAAGUUUGUUUGAAAAUACCAAAUGUAGAAUAUUUUUGUUUUCUUUGGUAUUUCUUCGGUGAAUGAUUUGGCCUUUUUUUGUUGAUUCGUCUUUAUCUUGAUUCGUCUUUAACGAUUGGAUGUGGAUAGAUCUUUGUUUUUCUUUGAUAAGUGAUUGUUGAAGUCCUUUUCGUUUCGUCUUUUCUUGUUGAUGGAUCACGGGAUCUCAAGACUUCAUUUUUUGGUUGGCUUAUAUCUAGGUAGGGAUUGGUGGCAUAAAAGACAGUUUGUCUAGUAUGUAAGAAAUGAAUGUAUCGUCCCUGGUCAUUUUGAUAUCUAAGCAAAAAAGAGACCAUGACAAGGUAUAAUCGGGUAUACCUUAUAAGCAAUAGUGACACACUGUAACAUACACGUUUUGAAAUCGUGUUUUAAGUAAAUAAUAUUAUGAAAUAUUAAGUGAAAUUGAAUGUUGAGUUCUAACAGAUAGUUUUUACUAGAAAUGAAGUAAAACUAUGUUUAGAAUCACUCAUAAAAUGUUGGAAGUCUUAUGAGAUUCCAAUUAAAAGCCAAAUAGUGAAAUUUAGCGAAAAUAUAAAAUUUGGAAUAAGUAAAAUUUUAUCAUUGAAAGUUGUAGAUAAUCUCAUUAGAAACAUUUAGGCGAAAACCUCAUCGAAAUCCGAGUUAUAACGAAGAAGUUAUGACCAAACGAAGAUUCGUGAUAAAUCCGGAAAAUACUUUGUCGCGUAAAAAUUUAGUUUUCGAUAAACUAUUUUUUAGCCUUAGUAAUCUAAACGAAAGUUAUAGAACUCGUGAAAAUAAUCAACUUUCAUAUAAAGACCGUUUGAAUCCGACUUCGUAUGAGGCAGUUAUGAUUUUUCGAAGUUUCAGCUUAGCAGUAGACAGCUAAAAACUCGAAUUUUAGAUCGAGUGAUUUUUAGCCGACACAACCUAAACGAGAAUUGAAGGUCUCGUCAUUAGUAGUGCAACGGUAAAAAGUCUGACGAAAACGGACGUCGGAUGAAGAAGUUAUGAAUUUUUAACGGAUUUUCCUGUCCCGGUCUGUUAAAAAUAAUAAUAUUAAAAUUAAAGUCAAAAUUAGCCGACGAAGUCUAAACGAAAGUUGUAGAGCAUAAUUUUAGCNGACUUGAAGAUCUCGUCAAUAGUAGUACAACGGUAAAAAGUCUGACGAAAACGGACGUCGGAUGAAGAAGUUAUGAAUUUUUAAUUGAUUUUCCUGUCCCGGUCUGUUAAAAAAUAAUAAUAAUAAAAUUAAAAUCAAAAUUAGCCAACAAAGUCUAAACGAAAGUUGUAGAGCAUAAUUUUAGCUUCGCGUGCAUAUAAAGAACGUCAAAAACGGAGCUCGUAUGUGAAAGUUAUGGAUUUUACAAGAUUUGGCGCGUUUUUCGAGAAAUUUCGCAUGAAUAGUGAUUGCCACGUCACCCUCGCUCGGAGUUGGCCACGUGUCCGAAGCUGCUGCGUGGCAAUGCCCGAGAAGCGACGCGUGUCGCACAGAUGUCCGGAAGGCCACAUGAUCCUCGCAUGUCACACGUGAUCCUCGCAUGCCACACGUGAUCCGACCCUCGUGUCAUCCUCCCAUUGGACCGAAGCUACUAUCUGCGAGCCAGCUGUUCCGACCCUCGCACCCGUAGCCUCGCCCUGCUGCCACCUGGUCCGAGCCUCGCAUACACGUGCCCUCUUCCCUUUGCUUCGGAUCCAAACCUCGGCCCUAUAUAAGGGGUGCGAACCCUCUCGACUAACUUUAGAAAUUUCACACUUUUUCACUUUUUUUUUCAAUACUUUUACUAUCCCGACAUUCCCCGAAGCCCCGGUACUGAUUCCAAAGCCCGAAACACGCCCCGAGACUCCCGAGAAGCCCGAAAAAUUUAUCUUUUCGGUUUCGAAGCUCUACCUUCNAACGCUCAUAGGUAUAGCUCACACUUCACUUGGGUGUUUAGUUGUUCUGGCAGCAGAACAAGUUAAUGAUCACUAAAAAUGAGUGAUAUCUCUCUCUGACGACUCACACUCAUAUUGGAGGUGUUCAACUAUGCUUUUCUUGAAAGGUCACUUAGUCUCAUUAUUAGAUAAUCAAUCACAUAAGACUGGUUUCGGCAUUACUCAGCGGGUUUCUUCAUUCAUGCCAUUAACUUUCUCUCUCUCUCCGUCGGGAAAUACAUGUAGAGGGGUUUAGCAAUUUUCAUAGUGCAGUUUGCAACUAAGAACUUUCAUUGAUGAAGGCUACAGUAUCCCGGGAAAUCCUUUGUUGUUGCAGCUUUUUCUUUGAUGGUAUCCUUUUUGUUGAUCAAUAUCCUUUUUGUUGUAAAAGGAUAUUUUGUUUUAGCAUCGAGAAUUUGCUACAUUUGAGAAAAUUGGGAUUUUUGAGAGUAUCUAUCUUGCGGGAUUAAGAUAUCCCUUUUUGUGAAAAAUGGUUAAAAACAGAUCACGAGAUCUUUUGAUGUUUGCUUUGAAAUAACCAUUUGAUUGAACUUUGUUUGAAAAUACCAAAUGUAGAGUUUUUUUUUGUUUUGUUUGGUAUUUCUUCGGUGAAUGAUUUGGCUUUCUUGUUGAUUCCUUUUUAUCUUGUUUCGUCUUUUCUUGUUGAUGGAUCACGGGAUCUCAAGACAUCAUUUUUGGUUGGCUUAUAUCUAGGUAGGGAUUAGUGGCAUAAAAGACAGUUUGUCUAGUAUGUAUGAAAUGAAUGUAUCGUCCCUGGUCAUUUUGAUAUCUAAGCAAAAAUGAGACCGUGACAAGGUAUAAUCGGAUAUACCUUAUAAGCAAUAGUGACACACCUAAGCUCACAAGAAAUGAAUUCCACAAUGAUUCAGAUUGAUGAGGCACAAAUUCUCACAUGGGUUUUUGUUUUCAUCUGAACCUCCUAACCUUAUGUCCCUUUUUAAAAUCAUCAAUAAUGAAAUAAAAUUGAAGGAAAUAAAGUUAUAUACAUUAUGAAAAGUAGGAGAUUUGAACCUUCACUCCAAUUGAGAAUCAAUAUGACUUAAAAUCUUC
rnacentral:lncRNA from 1 species